GCUUAACCGGAGAAGUGCAUCGGAAACUGGAUAACUUGAGUGCAGAAGAGGGUAGUGGAACUCCAUGUGUAGCGGUGGAAUGCGUAGAUAUAUGGAAGAACACCAGUGGCGAAGGCGGCUACCUGGUCUGCAACUGACGCUGAGACUCGAAAGCAUGGGUAGCGAACAGGAUUAGAUACCCUGGUAGUCCAUGCCGUAAACGAUGAGUGCUAGGUGUUGGAGGGUUUCCGCCCUUCAGUGCCGGAGCUAACGCAUUAAGCACUCCGCCUGGGGAGUACGACCGCAAGGUUGAAACUCAAAGGAAUUGACGGGGGCCCGCACAAGCGGUGGAGCAUGUGGUUUAAUUCGAAGCUACGCGAAGAACCUUACCAGGUCUUGACAUCUUGCGCCAGCCCUAGAGAUAGGGCGUUUCCUUCGGGAACGCAAUGACAGGUGGUGCAUGGUCGUCGUCAGCUCGUGUCGUGAGAUGUUGGGUUAAGUCCCGCAACGAGCGCAACCCUUGUUACUAGUUGCCAGCAUUAAGUUGGGCACUCUAGUGAGACUGCCGGUGACAAACCGGAGGAAGGUGGGGACGACGUCAGAUCAUCAUGCCCCUUAUGACCUGGGCUACACACGUGCUACAAUGGACGGUACAACG
rnacentral:rRNA from 1 species